UACGAACCGUACAAACGUUAUUCGGAAUCACUGGGCUUAAAGGGUGCGUAGGCGACGCGGAAAGUAGGGUGUGAAAUCCCUCGGCUCAACCGAGGAAUUGCGCCCUAAACUACCGUGCUCGAGGGAGAUAGAGGUGAGCGGAACUUAGGGUGGAGCGGUGAAAUGCGUUGAUAUCCUAAGGAACACCGGUGGCGAAAGCGGCUCACUGGAUCUCUUCUGACGCUGAGGCACGAAAGCUAGGGUAGCGAACGGG
rnacentral:rRNA from 1 species